rnacentral:rRNA from 1 species
UACGUAGGGGUGCAAGCGUUAAUUCGGAAUUAGCUAGGGCGUAAACGCACGUAGGCGGAUCUUUAAGUCAGGGGUAGAAAGUCCCCAAGGCCUCAACCUUGGAACUGCCUUUGAAUACUGGCUGUCUUGAGUAUGGGAGAGGUUAGACGGAACUGCGAGUGUAGAGGUGAAAUUCGUAGAUAUUCGCAAGAACACCAGUGGCGAAGGCGGCUGUCUGGUCCGGUUCUGACGCUGAGGCGACGAAAGCGUGGGGAGCAAACAGG